UUUAGGGAGACCUGCCCACUCAAAUAUCGAAAGCAUUCAGUCAAUAGAUAUUGAGUUGGUCAUCCUAAGGUCGGUCGCAGAUAUGGUCAAUGGCUUUCAAACUAUGAUUGGUUCGUUUAGGGGCUAUUAGCUCAGGUGGUUAGAGCGCACCCCUGAUAAGGGUGAGGUCCCUGGUUCGAGUCCAGGAUGGCCCACCUGAAUCAAUUAAAAAUUUCCAAUUCUAAAUUAAGAACGAAGAAAACCUUGUUUUUAAUUUUUAAUGAUCAAUUUUUAAUUGUUGGGGGGUUUAGCUCAGUUGGUAGAGCGCCUGCUUUGCAAGCAGGAUGUCAGCGGUUCGAGUCCGCUAACCUCCACCUAGUGUGACAGUAACGCAAGUGAACAAACACGGCUAGGGAUAGCGAAAAAGUGUUAGAAUUACUUUCGUGGCGGUCAACACCAUAUGGUAGGAUAAUAGAUUGGAGUUGAAUUCAGCAAUUGACGAAAGAGUCAAACUGCUGGAAAAGAAUCCAGCCAGAACCUUGAAAACUGCAUAGUGACGCGAAUAAUAGCAGGCAGACACAGACGUGAUGAUUGUAAUGAUGUCAGUGGAUGCAUGGAGAAACACCAAAAUGUUUGAGU
rnacentral:misc_RNA from 1 species